AUUAUGUGAUCCAGGUCUGGACAAUCAGAGCAUUCCAUUCCAUUCUCAGAUUAUUGAUUGGUUAGGAGACAACCACAUGACCUGAGCUUAGCCAAUGAGAGGCAGUCCCUGAACUUUAGGGGAAUUAACAGGAGAUUUGGGCUGGACCUGAAAGAUAUAAAAGACAUAAACCAAGGAGGUACUAGGCCACCCUGUGGAGGGAGUCUGAGGAUGAAGCCUACUUCUACUGAGGACAAGAGAGCUGCCAUGAGGUGGAAAGAGAUGUGUGCCUGACAAUAGCUGAGCUCUGGAUCCAGCCUUCCGGAUCACCUGCUGUCAUCUGGCUUUUUCAGGGACACUUGCUCUUGGAAUGGAGCCGCCUUGUUGUGAGGAAGCCCAGUCCAUGGGGAAUGGCAUAUGUAGGUGUGCUGGCUGACAAUCCAGUUGAGGUCCCAGGCAACAGCCGGCGUUGGCCACCAGACAGAUGAGAAAACAGAGGCUCGGAAAGCUACAGAGCCUUACCCAGGGUGACUCAGUGGUGAAGAUGGAGUCUCUCCCGGUAGCCCAGGCUGAGGUGCACUGGUGCAAUCUCUGCUCACUGCACCCUUCGUCUCCUGGGUUCAAGCAAUUCUUCUGCCUCAGCUUCCCGAGCAGCUGGGACUACAGGCGCGUGCCACCACACCCAGGCUGCUCACUCUUAGAAUCCAGCCACCAUACUGUGAGGAAGCCCAAUUUAGCCUAUGCAGAGGAACUAGUGAGAGGCCACGUGGAGGUGCUUCAGUUGACAGCCCCAGGGAGCACAGUGCUUGUCCAGACCCACCCAGCUGGGAGGGGACAGAGGAAGAAUUUGAGCCCAGGGUCUUACUCUGCUUGUCCAGGUGGUGCAAUCUUGGUUCACUGCAGCCUCCACCUCCCAGGCUCAGGUGAUCCUCUGAGCUCAGUCUCUUGA
rnacentral:lncRNA from 13 species